rnacentral:rRNA from 1 species
AGCAGUCGCCGCGGUAAAACGUAGGUGGCAAGCGUUGUCCGGAAUUAUUGGGCGUAAAGCGCGCGCAGGCGGAUAGGUCAGUCUGUCUUAAAAGUUCGGGGCUUAACCCCGUGAUGGGAUGGAAACUGCCAAUCUAGAGUAUCGGAGAGGAAAGUGGAAUUCCUAGUGUAGCGGUGAAAUGCGUAGAUAUUAGGAAGAACACCAGUGGCGAAGGCGACUUUCUGGACGAAAACUGACGCUGAGGCGCGAAAGCCAGGGGAGCGAACGGGAUUAGAUACCCCCGUAGUCCCUGUCUCUUAUACA